GGGAGCACAUGUUUUUGUGUUAGCACAGGUUUUUUGUCCCUGCAAAAGACAAGUUAACGUAUGCACCGUUUCGAUUAGUCCAAGUUCAGGAUAAAAAUGGUUUUACUGGUUCAUUUGCUAUAUGUUUGCGAUAUACACAUAACUUGUCGAGGUCCAUCUGGUAAGAGAAAUAAUCCUGUGUCAUUGCAUAAUAUGUGUCUGGGCGUGCAUGUAUUUCUCCGUGCUCCUUCUUUGUCAUGAUUCCAGGGUUUAAUUUAAAUAUGUGUUUCUCUUCUCUCCAUAUUUCAGGUUUAUUACGGAGUAUGAAAAUCAGGAAGCUUUUUGUUCACUUCAUACAUCUCCUCCAACAAAGCCAGGCAUCAGCACCCCGGCACAGACUCCGGAGUGAUUAUUGUUACACAUGAUCUAUGGAGCAGAUAAAUUACAGCUUGAUUUUUAUAAGACAGGAGAAAACCCCCGCGGAACCAGCCAGCACAUGUUUCGUGGCAAGAUCAGGGCCUCAGACACCACAAACUCUUCCUUUUUGGGCUCAAGAUCCUGAGAAGCUGCGGAAAAUUUGGGCAGAAGAUCCUCUCAGCGUUGCACGGGACAGCAGACGUGACCUGCUCGGGGAUGUGGAGACACCUGGCACGGGGUCCUCAGUCUGGUCGGAUGGGAUGGAACAGGUGACCAUCAUGCUCUUGUAUUUUUUAACUUUGGGAAAAAAGGAAAUUUUUCUUUGGGAGUUAUGGGAGCUCUUGGCUGGCUGUAUCAGAAAAGUUUCCUUGGAUCUCUUCCACUUCAUGCCAGGAUAUUGUUCAGUCUAAUGACCAGCUUGAGAGAAAUGUUUCCACUUUCUAGAGUGGAGUGAUUUACUACCUUACCUCUCCCAGCAUUUCCAUAGAGGUGAAUUCCACACAUUUUUAAACCUGUAGUCAGAAUUUGUGCUCCAGGAUCCUUUUAAAGCCAGGCUCAGCGAUACUACGUACCAUUAGCAGUGGAUCCCUCUGAGAAAGGAGAAUGGGAUUUUCCCCCACUGUGAUCAGCACUGUCUUUUCUGCUUUAUUUUCCUUCUGGGCUGUCCUCACCCCUUUGUUUCCUCUCUGGGAUGGCAUCAUUCCUCCCCUCUGAGGCCGAGCUGCCGCGCAGCCUCUGUGCAGCAUCUGAGAGGGUACGAGGCGGUAGUGGAAGUGCUGGAGUGUCCCGGCACUAAUCACAUAUUAUCACCUUACGAUAAUUAUCCAAGCUGAUUCUGAAUGAAUCCUCUUUGGAGAAGGUCCUUGGCCUGCCCUCUGCUUGGCAGAAUGCCCGAGGUGCCACUGGCACGAACACAUGAAGACUGGUGAAAUCCAAAGUGCCGUAUUACGUUGCAGGAAGCAGCCAGCCAGGUGUUACCACCAAGACAUAAUAAAUUCCUGUUGGUACGGCA
rnacentral:lncRNA from 1 species